UGGCUCAGUGGUUAAGAGCACUGGCUGCUCUUUCAGAGGACCUGGGUUCAAUUCCCAG
rfam:Neotoma lepida isolate 417 scaffold_40, whole genome shotgun sequence.